rnacentral:tRNA from 1 species
CAAAUUAGAGCUUGAAUAAGUAUUUUAUUUACAUUAAAAAGAUAAUUUUAAUAAUUUAAUUUGAUAA